AUUGAACGCUGGCGGCAGGCCUAACACAUGCAAGUCGAGCGGAUGAAGGGAGCUUGCUCCUGGAUUCAGCGGCGGACGGGUGAGUAAUGCCUAGGAAUCUGCCUGGUAGUGGGGGAUAACGUCCGGAAAUGGGCGCUAAUACCGCAUACGUCCUGAGGGAGAAAGUGGGGGAUCUUCGGACCUCACGCUAUCAGAUGAGCCUAGGUCGGAUUAGCUAGUUGGUGGGGUAAAGGCCUACCAAGGCGACGAUCCGUAACUGGUCUGAGAGGAUGAUCAGUCACACUGGAACUGAGACACGGUCCAGACUCCUACGGGAGGCAGCAGUGGGGAAUAUUGGACAAUGGGCGAAAGCCUGAUCCAGCCAUGCCGCGUGUGUGAAGAAGGUCUUCGGAUUGUAAAGCACUUUAAGUUGGGAGGAAGGGCAGUAAGUUAAUACCUUGCUGUUUUGACGUUACCAACAGAAUAAGCACCGGCUAGCUUCGUG
rnacentral:rRNA from 1 species